rnacentral:rRNA from 1 species
GAUGAACGCUGGCGGCGUGCUUAACACAUGCAAGUCGAACGGGAAUUAUUUUAUUGAAACUUCGGUCGAUUUAAUUUAAUUCUAGUGGCGGACGGGUGAGUAACGCGUGGGUAACCUGCCUUAUACAGGGGGAUAACAGUCAGAAAUGGCUGCUAAUACCGCAUAAGUGCACAGAGCUGCAUGGCUCAGUGUGAAAAACUCCGGUGGUAUAAGAUGGACCCGCGUUGGAUUAGCUGGUUGGUGGGGUAACGGCCCACCAAGGCGACGAUCCAUAGCCGGCCUGAGAGGGUGAACGGCCACAGUGGGACUGAGACACGGCCCAGACUCCUACGGGAGGCAGCAGUGGGGAAUAUUGCACAAUGGGGGAAACCCUGAUGCAGCGACGCCGCGUGAAGGAAGAAGUAUCUCGGUAUGUAAACUUCUAUAAGCAGGGAAGAUAGUGACGGUACCUGACGAAGAAGCCCCGGCUAACUACGUG